GCCAGGUGCAGUGGGGCAUGUCUAUAGUGUUAGCUAAUUGGGAGCCUGAGGCAGGAGGGUCACUUGAGUCUAGGAGUUCUAGGUUGUAUGUGCUAUGUUUUUCAGAUUUCUGUACUAAAUUUGAUAUCAGUAUGGUGACCUCCAGGGAGUGGGGCACCAUCAGAUUGUCUAUGGAGUAGUGAACUUGCUCAGGUCAGAAACACAGCCAGUCAAAGCUCCCAUGCUUAUCAGUAGUGUGAUCAUUCCUCUGAGUAGCCACUGCAUUCCGGCCAGUACAACACAGUAAGUCCUGUCUCU
rnacentral:SRP_RNA from 1 species